rnacentral:ncRNA from 1 species
CAAAGGUUUGGUCCUGGCCUUAUUAUUAGUUAUAGGUAGACUUACACAUGCUAGACUCCACACACCAGUGAAGAAUCCCAUGAAAUCACCUACUAAGUGAUCAAAAGGAGAUGGUAUCAAGCACACUAAAGUAGCUAAAGACACCUUGCUAAGCCACACCCCCACGGGAAACAGCAGUGAUAAAAAUUAAGCAAUGAACGAAAGUUUGACUUAGCCAUACCAAUAAGGGUUGGUAAAUUUCGUGCCAGCCACCGCGGUCAUACGAUUGACCCAAACUAAUAAUCAACCGGCGUAAAGCGUGUACAUAGAAUUAAACAAAUAGGAUAGAAAAUUACCAAUAAUGUAGAAAUUUCAUGGUAUAAAUAAUUACAAUAACGAAAGUAAUCCUAACCAUCUUGACUACACGAUAGCUAAGACACAAACUGGGAUUAGAUACCCCACUAUGCUUAGCCCUAAACAUAAGUAAUUCAAAAACAAAAUUAUUCGCCAGAGAACUACUAGCCACAGCUUAAAACUCAAAGGACUUGGCGGUACUUUAUAUCUGCCUAGAGGAGCUUGUUCUAUAAUCGAUAAACCCCGUUACACCUUACCACCCCUUGCUAAUUCAGCCUAUAUACCGCCAUCUUCAGCAAACCCUGUCAAGGACAAACAGUGAGCUCAAUGAUAAUCGUAAAUACGUUAGGUCAAGGUGUAGCCAAUGAGGUGGAAAGCAAUGAGCUACAUUUUCUACAUAAGAAAAUUACGGAGCCCUCUAUGAAACUAGGGGGUGAAGGAGGAUUUAGUAGUAAAUUAAGAAUAGAGAGCUUAAUUGAACUCAGCAAUGAAGUACGCACACACCGCCCGUCACUCUCCUCAAGCUACUAAAAUUGAAACUAUUUUUUUUAUAACUCAAUAAUAAAUAUUAGAGGAGACAAGUCGUAACAAGGUAAGCAUACUGGAAAGUGUGCUUGGCAAAACCCC